GAAAAUGAUGUGGAAUCCGGGAACUGAUCCGUGAAGACAAGCGCGAACCCUGAUC
rnacentral:snoRNA from 1 species